GGAAGCCUGGAGGCUAAAAGGUCAGAGAGGCAGGCCAUUGGUGGCAAUGAGGUGACACCACGCCGUUCGGUUAGAGAUACGAAGGGGCGUCGUCGGGCAGAAAUGAGAGCCAUGAUGCUGGAGUUAACAAAACGUUUUGAUGCUCUUGAAUCCGAGCAGGGGUGUGAUCUGGACACGCAAAACGUGGAUGAAGGUUUGGAAACAGCGUCGGCUGGGACUAGUGGGCGGAAACGCAGGAGGACGGAGGCUGCAGUUGGUCAAGAUUCGGGAGAGGGAACGUCAUACGGGCAUGACCCCUAUGAGGAAUUCUCUACCAGUGGCCAAGUGGCUGGCGCAGCUUCAGGUUCCUCAAGGACGGUUUUGGGUGAGUACGAGGCUUUGCACAACACAGUUAAUCAGGCUGCACAAUGGCCAUGGGUUGGAGGUGUACAACAGACAGGCGCCUCACCUAACAAUUGCAUAACACCUGGUUUGACAUGGCCAGGUGGUUUCUGGCCCCCAAUGGGGCCGCAAUGGUUUGGAUGGGGCAUGCCAUUUCAAACCCCAUUGAAACCUGCAGCGGCAGAUGAAGUUAAGAGUCUGGUAACGCAACAGCAUCCAUCAGUGCCCAAUACAGGUUAUAAUACCGUGCCUAUAACAGCUAUUCCUUACACAGAUUACAGUACGCCUCUGGGCGAUCACCUGACACCAGCUGUUAAGGAAAAAAUUUGGCGAGGUAAUUAUAUUGACUUUUAUGAGUUGCUGAACCGGGAAUUUGAAGUUAAGGAGAUUGAUAAAGAUGACGAGAAGCUGAAGGAAAAGCAUAGGCGUAAAAGGCCAGACAGGAAUUGGAACAACUGGGUCACGGGUUUCACUAUAUAUUCAGGUGUAUUGGUAAAAAUGCAACCUUGGAAGGCGUCGGCCUUGUUUCAAUAUUUUGAUAUCAUGCGAAGAGCAAAGGCGGAAUUUGAGGGCCAGGCUUGGUUGCGGUAUGACGAAGCCUUCAGAAUGCGAAGUGCGAUUUGGCCAGAAUUACGCUGGGAUGAAACACACCCAGGACUCUGGCUACAGCACAUGUCGCCAGCUAAAACGAGUCUAGGCGAUAGAUUCGAUUGUGGGCAUCUGAAUAUAAAGUAUUCAAGCAGCACUGGUGCCCGCCAGGGGGCGGGGCAGGCGGUUCAACCCCGGCUGCCUUGCUUUGAAUUUAACAAUAAAGGGUCCUGUAAUAAGUCCCCGUGCAGAUUUCGGCAUGAAUGCAUUGCUUGUGGAGGGAAACACCCUAGAAGCAACUGCUUUAGAGCAGGGGGGCUGCGGCAGAAUAAGGCAGGAGGAACAAAUAGGAAGCCAGAUGGUGGGGGCGGGGCUCCGGGAAAGGGGGCCCACCCCAAUUAAAAUUGAGGUGUUGAAAAAGGGCUUGGCAUUGUACCCCAAAAAAGAGGAUGUGGAGUAUUUGUAUUUAGGUUUUGUUUGGGUUCAGGAUUCCAGCCUUGGGUGUUAGGAGGGCAUUUAUGUCAAGGAAUCUUAAUUCAAUAAAAGGAUUAGAGGUCGUUGUCA
rnacentral:lncRNA from 1 species